rnacentral:tRNA from 13 species
GACUCGAUGGCGCAACGGCAGCGCGUCUGACUCCAGAUCAGAAGGCUGCGUGUUCAAAUCACGUCCGGGUCA